rnacentral:rRNA from 1 species
CGCCGCUGCAGAGUUUGAUCCUGGCUCAGAUUGAACGCUGGCGGCAGGCUUAACACAUGCAAGUCGAGCGGAAACGAUGAUAGCUUGCUAUCAGGCGUCGAGCGGCGGACGGGUGAGUAAUACUUAGGAAUCUACCUAGUAGUGGGGGAUAGCUCGGGGAAACUCGAAUUAAUACCGCAUACGACCUACGGGAGAAAGGGGGCAACUUGUUGCUCUCGCUAUUAGAUGAGCCUAAGUCGGAUUAGCUAGAUGGUGGGGUAAAGGCCUACCAUGGCGACGAUCUGUAGCUGGUCUGAGAGGAUGAUCAGCCACACCGGGACUGAGACACGGCCCGGACUCCUACGGGAGGCAGCAGUGGGGAAUAUUGGACAAUGGGGGCAACCCUGAUCCAGCCAUGCCGCGUGUGUGAAGAAGGCCUUUUGGUUGUAAAGCACUUUAAGCAGUGAAGAAGACUCCAUGGUUAAUACCCAUGGACGAUGACAUUAGCUGCAGAAUAAGCACCGGCUAACUCUGUGCCAGCAGCCGCGGUAAUACAGAGGGUGCAAGCGUUAAUCGGAAUUACUGGGCGUAAAGCGAGCGUAGGUGGCUUGAUAAGUCAGAUGUGAAAUCCCCGGGCUUAACCUGGGAACUGCAUCUGAUACUGUUAGGCUAGAAUAGGUGAGAGGAAGGUAGAAUUCCAGGUGUAGCGGUGAAAUGCGUAGAGAUCUGGAGGAAUACCGAUGGCGAAGGCAGCCUUCUGGCAUCAUAUUGACACUGAGGUUCGAAAGCGUGGGUAGCAAACAGGAUUAGAUACCCUGGUAGUCCACGCCGUAAACGAUGUCUACUAGUCGUUGGGUCCCUUGAGGACUUAGUGACGCAGCUAACGCAAUAAGUAGACCGCCUGGGGAGUACGGCCGCAAGGUUAAAACUCAAAUGAAUUGACGGGGGCCCGCACAAGCGGUGGAGCAUGUGGUUUAAUUCGAUGCAACGCGAAGAACCUUACCUGGUCUUGACAUAUCUAGAAUCCUGCAGAGAUGCGGGAGUGCCUUCG